rnacentral:rRNA from 1 species
UCGGGAAUUUUGGGCAAUGGGCGAAAGCCUGACCCAGCAACGCCGCGUGAAGGAUGAAGUAUUUCGGUAUGUAAACUUCGAAAGAAUAGGAAGAAUAAAUGACGGUACUAUUUAUAAGGUCCGGCUAACUACGUGCCAGCAGCCGCGGUAAUACGUAGGGACCAAGCGUUGUUCGGAUUUACUGGGCGUAAAGGGCGCGUAGGCGGUGUGUCAAGUCAGUUGUGAAAUCUCCGAGCUUAACUCGGAACGGUCAACUGAUACUGUCACACUAGAGUACAGAAGGGGCAAUCGGAAUUCUUGGUGUAGCGGUGAAAUGCGUAGAUAUCAAGAGGAACACCUGAGGCGAAGGCGGGUUGCUGGGCUGAUACUGACGCUGAGGCGCGAAAGCUAGGGUAGCAAACGGGAUUAGAUACCCCCGUAGUCCCUGAGCGGGC